rnacentral:rRNA from 1 species
UACGUAGGGUCCAAGCGUUAUCCGGAAUCACUGGGCGUAAAGCGUGCGUAGGUGGAUUGUUAAGUGCGAUGCGAAAUCCUGUGGCUCAACCAUAUGGACUGUAUCGCAUACUGGCUAUCUAGAGGACAUGAGAGGCAAGUGGAAUUACUGGUGUAGCAGUGAAAUGCGUAGAGAUCAGUAGGAACACCAAUGGCGAAGGCAGCUUGCUGGCAUGUAUCUGACGCUAAGGCACGAAAGCGUGGGGGAGCGAACAGG